GACGAACGCUGGCGGCGUGCUUAACACCUGCAAGUCGAACGGAGUGGCGAACGGGGGAGUCACACGGGGGUGAUCUGCCUUGCACUUCGGGAUAAGCUUGGUAAACUUGGUCUAAUACCGGAUAGUGCAAGAGGAGCUCGCGGCCUAUCAGCUUGUUGGGGGGGUACUGGCCUACCAAGGCGGCGACGGGUAGCCGGCCUGAGAGGGUGUACGGCCAAAUUGGGACUGGGAUAGAGACCAGACUCCUACGGGAGGCAGCAGUGGGGAAUAAUGCACAAUGGGCGGAAGCCUGAUGCAGCGACGCCGCGUGGGGGAUGACGGCCUUAGGGUUGUAAACUCCUUUCGACAGGGACGCGGUACCUGUAUAAGAAGCACCGGCUAACUACGUGCCAGCAGCCGCGGUAAUUC
rnacentral:rRNA from 1 species